UACGUAGGGGGCAAGCGUUGUCCGGAUUUACUGGGCGUAAAGAGCGUGUAGGCGGCCCGGUAAGUCCGCUGUGAAAGUCGGGGGCUCAACCCUCGAAAGCCGGUGGAUACUGUCGGGCUAGAGUGCGGAAGAGGCGAGUGGAAUUCCUGGUGUAGCGGUGAAAUGCGCAGAUAUCAGGAGGAACACCGGUGGCGAAGGCGGGUCUCUGGGCCGAUACUGACGCUGAGGAGCGAAAGCGUGGGGAGCGAACAGG
rnacentral:rRNA from 1 species